AUUGAACGCUGGCGGCAGGCCUAACACAUGCAAGUCGAGCGGAGCGGCGGACGGGUGCGUAAUGCCUAGGAAUCUGACUGGUAGUGGGGGAUAACGUCAGGAAACGGGCGCUAAUACCGCAUCCUAUCAGCUGAGCCUAGGGCGGAUUAGCUAGUUGGGGGGGUAAAGGCAUACCAAGGCGACGAUCCGUAACUGGUCUGAGAGGAUGAUCAGUCAAACUGGAACUAGGACCCGGUCCAGACCCCUACGGGGGGCAGCAGUGGGGAAUAUUGGACAAUGGGCGAAAGCCUGAUCCAGACAUGCCGCGUGUGUGAAGAAGGUCUUCGGAUUGUAAAGCACUUUAAGUUGGGAGGCGUUACCAACAGAAUAAGCACCGGCUAACUUCGUGCCAGCAGCCGCGGUAAUAC
rnacentral:rRNA from 1 species